rnacentral:rRNA from 1 species
GACGAACGCUGGCGGCGUGCUUAACACAUGCAAGUCGAACGGAGUGGCAAACGGAUGAGUAACACGUGGUUGAAAUGCCCUGCACUUCGGGAUAAGCCUGGUAAACUGGGUCUAAUACCUGAUCGUGUGGGAUGAGGCCGCGGCCUAUCAGCAUGGUGGUGGGGUAAUUGCCUACCAAGUCGGCGACGGGUCGCCGGCCUGAGAGGUUGGACGGCAACAUUGGGACUGAGACACGGCCCAGACUCCUACGGGAGGCAUCAGUGGGGAAUAUUGCACAAUGGGCUGAAGCCUGAUGAAGCGACGCCGCGUGGGGGAUGACGGCCUUCGGGUUGUAAACUCCUUUCACCAUCGACGCGGUAGAUGGAGAAGAAGCACCGGCUAACUACGUGCCAGCAGCCGCGGUAAUAC